GUUUUCACCAGCCCGCCGGGCCCUCCAUACCCGACUGUUGUUUCAAGAUGCUGCUUUCAUAGCUUCAGAAUUUUAUUUCAUGGCCAACGGCUCCCUUAAAAACAGACAUUUCUUUUUAUGUUGUUGACCGGACUGUUUUGCUGGACUUAGCUUGAAAAAAAAAAAAAAAACAACCCAGCAAGAUGGGAGCAGGGUGCUUUCCCUUCAGAAGGCCCUGCUCUGAGCGGCCCCUCUUCCCCGACCCACUCCUUCCAAGACGCAGUACUCGGCAUAGGACGCCCACCUGCCCGCCUUGCGCGGGGCUGACCUGGACAUCCCUGCCCGGGGCUCACACCCCUGCAGGACUGGGGGUAGAUGGAGCCAAAGAGGAUGUCCCCCAGGCUCUACAGACUCAGCAACUUGGGGUGGAGAAUGAGAGUGGAUCAGUCAUUGGAUUGGCAAGUCAUUUAACACAUUUUUUUUUAACAUGAAAACAGAUUAAUAGAGCAGAGGGCAAAAUCUGCUUGAGUUUGAAAAAAUAAACCAGGAGACUUGAGAGAAGUGAAGGGGAGUGGGUGACGGGAGCCCAUGCUGGGGUGCUUCCUCCUGGGCUGGGCUCUUGAGGGUCGUGGAGGGGCGGCUCGGGAGGGACUGACUUCCGGUUUCGUCCUCAGCCAGCCCAGGACCUGGCCCGUGGCGAGGGUUCCAUAAACCUUUGUGACUUUGAGUUUGCUUUUUUGUGGUGGUAAAACUUACCCAAAGUGUACCAUUUUAAACCUUUUAAAGUGUACGGUUCGGUGGCGUUAAGUCAUCGAGCUGUUGUUUUUUGUUUUUAUUGGGAUGUAGCUGAUUUACAGCGUGGUGGUCCCCGAGUUUUAAGAGUGAGCUCUGGAAGAUUCAGGAACCGGACGCGAAAAAAGUGGGCCUUGCUGUGUUGUGGCGUUUUACGGUUGAAAGUGCUUUCCCACCUGUUCCUGCUUCUGUGAUCGGGAGGUGGUGGUACCCUCAUUUUGCAGAUGAGAAAAGUGUCGUUGAAAGAGACUACGGUUGAAGCCGGGCCACCGAACAACACAAGUAUUCACAGCACUGUUCACAGGCGCCAUAAAGGGGAAGCACUCCAGCCGUCCAUCGGCUGAUGAACGGGUGAACGAGACGUAGUGUGUCCAUCGCUAGGGAAUGCUAUCCAGCCUUAAAAAGGAGCGAGGCUCUGACACGGCACGACCUGGUGGACCUCGAGAACACUGCCGACUGAAAUACACCAGUCACUACAGGCCACACAGGGCUUCCCCGGCGGCUCAGCUGAUGAGGAAACUGGCUCCCUGAACGGCUGAGUCACUCUCCCCAGGCCCCACGGGCAGUCAGUGGUGGAGCUGAAUCAGAGCCCAGGCCCAGUGUCCUCACCACUGUGCUGAAC
ensembl:lncRNA